UUAAAAGGAAUGUAUGCGUGCGCACGUUCUUUCUUGCAGGAGGCCUAGAAUUACUUCCAGAGUCAGCAUGGGAUCUUUGGUUUAUUUUGUUUGCAUGAUAUUUCUGUUUACAUUUGUUGAUAGUCGCAGGGAAUACACUAAAGAAGAAUUCUGUCCAGUUUCUGUGAAACACGGUGACUGGACGCUUGACUACAAGGAUGGAUAUCGCUGCAUCCUAAGCUGUGAUAACGGGUUCGAGCCAUCUGAUUGCCAUGUUAUCAGGAGAGAUAAACAUGAUCAAUGGGAAAGGACUGUGCCAACAUGCGUUGAAUCCUCGAUGAUAUCUGGUAAAACCGUUGCAGCAGUUGGUGUAGGAGCAGCGGCUGUAGUAGGAGCACCGUAUGUCUUGGCAGCUGCCGGAUUCCAAGCUGCAGGAGUAGCAGCCGGAUCUCUGGCAGCUUGGUUUCAGGGUUCUGCUACAGCAGCAGGUAGUUGGUUCGCUUUGGGUCAGAGUGCCGGAGCUGCAGGAAUGGCUGCGACCACACAAGCCGGCAUCUUUAGUUCCGUUACAGCAGCCACUCGGGCGGCAACGAGUUACUUCACCGGAUGCGAGCCGGAAUAAAUACAAUGACGUUUACUUUUUUUUCAUUUUCAAUUUAUAUUUGUAUUUCGUUUCGACAAUUUUUGUGUUAUAAAUAAUCUUUAUUCUCAUAUGUCUGCCUUUUUAAUUCAAAUGGUAUCAUAUCGUCCGAGGAGUGAGAUCGAAAUGGGUUUACGUUUUAUUAUAUAAAGUAGUGAAGGCUAGAUAGGUUUAAAUCUUCUCAUAUUGAGCAGAGAGGUUUAAAUGUUAUUAUAUCCAGGAGUGCGAGCGAAAAAGUUAUAAAUGUUAUUAUAUCCAGGAGUGAGAGCGAAAUAGGUGUAUAUGUUAUUAUAUCCGGGAGUGACAGCGAAAUAGGUCUAUAUGUUAUUAUAUCCGGGAGUGACAGCGAAAUAGGUCUAAAUGUUAUUCUAACACGAUCAGCAAAUAACCUCUAUACACAUAGGAGAAAAUCAAUCAAAGGUUAUUUUGCGAUAACCCAUGCGCGUACAAAGUAGUGACGUCAUCCUCUAUGUAUAGAAUGAUCCAGGUGCGUAGCACGAAAUGUAGUUCAUGUCAUUAAAAGUAGUUACCAUUUUUUCUAACAUGUUGAUACUAAUAUGUCGUGUUAGAAUCGAAAUAACAAGUUCCAAAGUCAAGUUCUACUGUAACGAUGUUGCGUUCCGCUUUCGCUUAAGCAGACCUUUUCUUAUAUAUAAUACUGUAGAAAGUUGUUAUUUGGUCUUUUGAUUGGCAAGAUUGACAGUGUUCUCAUAAUACCACGACCAUAUAGGUCUUUAAUAGUUUUGUUUUUGUAUUGAGUAAUCAAUAAUGAAUAUAAUAUAUCCAUUUGUAGUUAUUUCACUAAAAGUUAAGUUAAUAGUUAAGUAAAAUGACUCUGUAAAAUAUAACAGCAGAUAAUAAAUUUUAUUUUGUAUGUAUAUACAUGUAUUAAGCUUGUUUACAUUCUCUCAUCUUUCACGCAUGCGUGUAUUUGUAUGUAUGACGAUGAACUUCAAGUCUAUUGUAAAUAAAUUUAUGUUCUGUUC
rnacentral:misc_RNA from 1 species